AUGAUGAACCGGAGAAUUGAUAGCCCGGAGGAGGAGCAGAUGAUCGGAGGGGUGCGUAAGCGGCGGCAAGGGCAGGCGAGCUACUCUGAACGCACCGGCAAAAAGCUGGAGAAGCAGAAGCACCUCUACCUGCUGAUCGAUGACUGGAGCAAAGGCUUCACCCUUCAUAAGAUUGACAAGGACACUAACUACUCUGACCUCCGGGAGCCUGGCGUUCUCCGGUUAAUCGCACCCGUGCCUCGUCGUUGCAUGACCUUCGCUGCCAUGGGCGGCAACAUCUUCAUCACCACUAACCCACGCCGGCCCGGGUGCAGAUGUUUUAAAAAUUCACGUCUUACGGAGACGGCCGGGCUGGCCGUCGGCCCUCCCCUCCCGGAACCACUGCUGUGUCACCAUAGGUGUGUUGCCACCACCGAUGCGCUGUAUGCAUUCCCAUGUUUCGUCCAAAACACGCAGCAGGACUUCUUCCAGGCCAUGUCGUUGGCACCAACGGAGAACGACGAUCCGUGGGCUCCAAGGCCGACCAUGGACUGGCGCUGGCAGAGCGUGCCCUCGCCGUGGCCGUUCACCAAGGAAGUCAUCGACUCGUACGCCUUGCACCCAGAUGGACGCACCAUCUUCCUAACGGCGCACAGCAAGUACGACGGCCCAAGCCCGUGCCCGUCGGCCAUGUCCACCUUCUCCUUCGACACCAAGGGCCAGCGGUGGAGGUCACAUGGGGAUUGGCCCUUGCCCUUCAGGGGCCAAGGCUACUUCGACAGCCAGCUCGAUGCAUGGGUUGGCCUCCAGAAGGAUGGCACCAUCUGCUCCUGCCAAGUUGCCUCCCGCACCAGCACAACCCAGUCGCAGCCGGACUGGAAGACGGUCAAGGAAAGGUUUUUCUCCAAGCCCCCUGACAGCAAGCGCCGACUGGCGGCGCCAAUGGACGCCACUCUCACACAUUUGGGCAACGCCCAGUUUUGCCUUGUGGAGUGUGCUACGCGAGGGAGUCGAGUACAAGGAUGCUUUUGGCGACCGUGA
rnacentral:rRNA from 1 species